UGUUUGCACGGUUACAAUUCAACUCUCUUUCUAACGUGCAACACAGACUUUCACUCACACAGAUACAUACAUGUUAUUAACAUGAACACCACUUUCCUUUUCUCUCUUUUCGAUCAUUCUUCUUUUUCUCCCUCAACUGUCUGUGUCUCUCAGAGACUCUCUCUUCUCAACAGCUUAAUCUUCAUCUGAGUUUCGAACAAUUUUGUUUUGAUUUUAGGAGGCAUGGAUCAUCAUUCAUCAGGAAUCAAAACUAAACCAUUGUUUUUCUUGCUUUAGUCGAUGCUUCAAAUAUGUUGUUGAGCCAAUUGUUGGAUCAUCGAGAUACCGCUACUCACUAAUUCGAACAAUUAAUGGCGGAGAUCAACAGUUGAAUCAUUGUUUUUCUUUUCUUCGAUUAGUGCUUAGUUUGAGGACGAGUUUAACCACUAAGUUGUAAUAAAGAGAUUAAUCAACUUUUACAUUGGGGAUUAAUCAAGCUGUCAAUUUCAAGAUUCAUCCGAGACACAUGGUGCAUAGAAAAUAUGAACGGUGAAAGUUAGGUGCGCUCUGUGACCUGUAACUCCUUAGAUUGGAGAAAAACAAGAGUAUUUUGUUACGUGCUUGAAAACUACCCCACGUAGUUGGGAAUUAUGUAAAGAUAUCAGCAACGCACUUGGGAUGUGUCGGAGAUAAGCAAAGAAUUUAAAGCUCCUGAAUUCGAAAUGUGUAUGCAUUCAGUUGAUUUGCAAAUUGCAAUCAAUAUGUGGAUUUAUAUUUUGUUGCGUAGUGAUAUCUGGACUCUGAAGUUGAGUAUCUAAAAGAAAGGUAAAUGUGAAAAUGUUGCGUUUGCCGACGUGCAAAGCACGUGCACUCUAGUUUUACCUGUUUAAUCAUUAUUGGAUGGUUGCAAUCCCAUAGGCAGUCCGCUUGAAUUGUCUUAGUCAUGUUUGCUUAAAUAUGGGAAGCUUUAGCAAAUCCCAUGCAUGAGCCUCAUAUGAAAAUGUUUUGGCGCGUGCGCAUACUUUAGUGUGCCAGCCUAGCCUUUACUAGAAUACUGAACUAAUAUCUUCUUGCU